AAAGGGGCAAAUGCGAGCCUGAUCAGCAAUGCCGCGUGUGUGAAGAAGGCCUUCGGGUUGUAAAGCACUUUUGUCCGGAAAGAAAUCCUCUGUGGUUAAUACCUCGGGGGGAUGACGGUACCGGAAGAAUAAGCACCGGCUAACUACGUGCCAGCAGCCGCGGUAAUACGUAGGGUGCGAGCGUUAAUCGGAAUUACUGGGCGUAAAGCGUGCGCAGGCGGUUUGCUAAGACCGAUGUGAAAUCCCCGGGCUUAACCUGGGAACUGCAUUGGUGACUGGCAGGCUUAGAGUGUGGCAGAGGGGGGUAGAAUUCCACGUGUAGCAGUGAAAUGCGUAGAGAUGUGGAGGAAUACCGAUGGCGAAGGCAGCCCCCUGGGCUAACACUGACGCUCAUGCACGAAAGCGUGGGGAGCAAACAGGAUUAGAUACCCUGGUAGUCCACGCCCUAAACGAUGUCAACUAGUUGUUGGGGAGUUUUU
rnacentral:rRNA from 1 species